CUAUCCGCACUGACCUCAAAGCAGUACAAAGCUCAGAGCAGUGAUUCUCAAGGUCAUAUCGGGUAUCCUGCAUAUCAGAUACUAACAUCACGAUUCAUCACCAUAGCAAAGUGAGUUACGGUUGGGGGUCACCACAACAUGAGGAGCUGCAUGAAAGGGUCCCAUCAUUAGCAAGGUUGAGAACCACUGGCCGAGAGCUCAGUUGUUUGUUUGUGGGUUCGUUUCUCCCUAGCACCACUCUAACCGCCUUGGUCAGCCUGGGAGAACCUUCUGUCUGCACAGCCUCGCUGUUAUCUCUCAGAGCCCUGUCAGAUCUCAUCAGCUCCUGGAUGUUGCACCAUCUAGCCUGUCUUCUAUCAGCACGCAUUUAAUAGCUUCCAGUUUUUUUUAUACUGAAAACAUUGCAAUGAACAUGCAUCUUGCUCACACGUGCAAAUAUUUUGCCAGGAUAUGUGUUAGAAUUUGGCUGGUUACAAUUUAGGUGAAUUUAUUAAAGUAUUGCUUUGUCUUAUGGGAAAUCUGGAUCAACCAAUUCUCCCAGCAUCAGUGGGCCAGGGUAGCCCAUGUUCCUUGUCAGCACAGAAGCAGCGGGUGUGUCCGACCUUUAACAAUCGACUAGGCAGAAAUAGAUACUAAAGCACUUUCUAUCCAGCUGCUGUGCGCUUGUUUUUCCUCCUGAACACCCUACUGAUAAUAGCUUUUACUUAGGUUUAGUUUUAUAUUGUUCAUAUUUUUCAAUUAUAAAUCUAUAAAACCUAAGUGUUAUUACUAUUGAAAUCAGCCCUUUGAUAAAGGUAUGUAUCAUUUGACUUUGUAUGACUUUCUGGUAUGCUUUGCCAUACAGAUAUUUUCCUUUGUAGGAAUUCAAUUUCAUAGGAUCUUCCUCCCUCUAAAAAAUGACAAACGGCAUCUCGGCUUGUCUCGUCUAGUCUGCAGCCCCGGCUCUCUCUGAUCGUGACACCGGCUCAUCCUCCCACGAGAAAAACCGCUGCCCUCAGGAGGACAGAUUCCAAACCUCUGAAUCUGCAACAAAAGCUUUCAAAGAACAGCCUGAGGAGCCUGAGUUUGACCUCAUGAGCAGGCAUUCCCAGCCUUUCGACAUAGGGACGUGACAUCACGGUCUAUAGAGUUCAUACACACACAGAGCACCAUGCAAUAGAGAUCCAAGACAUAUCCUGGGUUUUAAGUUUGCAGUUUCGUGUUGGGUGGCGUUCAAGGCAUUGUUGAAGAACAUGCAGUUUCUCCAGGGUUCCAUAUUCAGCUUACAUCAUCCGAUUCCUGUUUUCCUGUAUUGGAUCACCUAUCUCAGGAGUUAAUCAGCUCCUGUUCAAAGUCAGCAGGGAGCGUCUGACAAAUCCAUUCCCACCUUAGCAAUUGAUUAGCCCUGGGCUUUAUAAGCAUAGGUCAUGCGAGGCUCUGGCCCUAUUAAAAUUUCUUCCAUUUAUUUCAAGGGGAGAGACAAUCUCUCCUCCAUUCACGUGACUUCUUGAUGUGACAGGUGAUAGUUCUACCCAGUUUAUCAUGUCAGUAAAAUGUCAUUUCUUG
rnacentral:lncRNA from 1 species